rnacentral:tRNA from 1 species
GCAACGAGUAGCAGAGUGGUAGUGGUAGUUUUGGCGCAGUGGCUAGUCGUGGGUUCGAUUCCCCCUCGGUGCA